rnacentral:rRNA from 1 species
UACGUAGGGUGCAAGCGUUGUCCGGAAUUAUUGGGCGUAAAGGGCUCGUAGGCGGUCCAUCACGUCGGGAGUGAAAAGCUGGGGCUUAACCCCAGUCCUGCUUCCGAUACGGGUGGACUAGAGGUAGGCAGGGGAGAACGGAAUUCCUGGUGUAGCGGUGAAAUGCGCAGAUAUCAGGAGGAACACCGGUGGCGAAGGCGGUUCUCUGGCCUGCAACUGACGCUGAGGCGCGAAAGCGUGGGGAGCGAACAGG